rnacentral:rRNA from 1 species
UCUGGCGACCAUAGUGCGGUAGUUCUACCUGAUUCCAUUCCGAACUCAGAAGUAAAAUGCCGUAAUGCCGAUGGUAGUGUGGGGAUUCCCCAUGUGAGAGUAGGGCAUCGCCAGAU